rnacentral:rRNA from 1 species
AGGACGAACGCUGGCGGCGUGCUUAACACAUGCAAGUCGAGCGAGGCCCUCUCUUCGGAGAGGUGCCCUAGCGGCGAACGGGUGAGUAACACGUGGGCAACCUGCCCCUAGCACUGGGAUAAGCCCGGGAAACCGGGUCUAAUACCGGAUAUGACCUUCAAGGGCAUCCUCGAAGGUGUAAAGGAUUCUGGCUAGGGAUGGGCCCGCGGCCUAUCAGCUUGUUGGUGGGGUAAUGGCCCACCAAGGCAACGACGGGUAGCCGGCCUGAGAGGGCGACCGGCCACACUGGGACUGAGACACGGCCCAGACUCCUACGGGAGGCAGCAGUGGGGAAUAUUGCACAAUGGGCAAAAGCCUGAUGCAGCGACGCCGCGUGAGGGAUGACGGCCUUCGGGUUGUAACCUCUUCAGCUCCGACGAAGCGAAAGUAGACGGUAGGAGGCAGAAGAAGCACCGGCCAACUACGCGCCAGCAGCCGC